AUUGAACGCUGGCGGCAGGCUUAACACAUGCAAGUCGAACGAGCGGCGGAGGGGAGAGUUAUGUCUGGGAAACUGCCUGAGAGAGGGGGAUCACUACGGGAAAGGGUCGCAAAUACCGAAUUCUAGCAGGUGUGCCGAGAUGGGAUUAGUUUGGGGGUGGGGUAAGGGCUCACCUAGGCGACGAUCCCUAGCUGGUCUGAGAGGAUGACCAGCCACACUGGAACUGAGACACGGUCCAGACUCCUACGGGAGGCAGCAGUGGGGAAUAUUGCACAAUGGGCGCAAGCCUGAUGCAGCCAUGCCGCGUGUGUGAAGAAGGCCUUCGGGUUGUAAAGCACUUUCAGCGGGGAGGCGUUACCCGCAGAAGAAGCACCGGCUAACUCCGUGCCAGCAGCCGCGGUAAUAC
rnacentral:rRNA from 1 species